GAGAGAACAAAGAGGAGGGCUACGAGAAAGAAGAGGAGAUCUUAGUGAGGGAGAAGUGGUGACAGAAUGCAUGUGACACGGCCGUAAAGGAGGACCGACGUGAUCAAGGGAUGUCUGAAAAUGUCAUAAUGUUUAUGUUUGUUUCCCUUACAUUGGAAGACGGCAUUUAUUCCUCUCAAUAGGAGUUACGCAGAUAAAACCACCUAAUGUCAACUCUACAUGUGCUUAAAAAGGACUUAAUUUUGAACACAAAGUACUCGUAAAAGAGAGGAAGAAACCUGAUAUUAAUAUAUCAGUACUGUGAGAGGGAUAUAUACUGUUCGUAGAGGAUCUUCUGAGGUUGGCAAUACUCCUUUCAAGUUCCUUUGACUAUCUAACAAAAAAAACCAAUACAAGUCCUGAGAAGUACCCUCUCAAGCCUGCCUCAACAAAACAAACUAUUAUUGUUGCCAUUGCUUGCCUCCCUGAGGUUGAAAGAUGAGAACUCGGAUAGAAGGGGCCAUGGAAACAUCAAAGAAGCUUUGCAGUUUUAUGAGGUCCCAUUUGUCGGUUCUCGAUCUUACAGCACAAGCCAUUGCUGUAAAAAAAAUAUUCUAACAGCAACAUUAUUCCAAUGUUUUAAAUAUAAUUCUACAAGUCACAAGAGAGCCAGCCAUGAAGAGACAAAUUAUCUAGACUGAGACUGAUGUGGGCAGUGUCUGAAUGGGAACUCCUGGUUAAAAGAGAUAUUCUUUGAAGGAAUGAAUCCUUCUUACAAGAGGCUUUGUUUAAGGUAUCAAUCCUAAAUAAAGAUAUUUUUACAUACAUGUACUCAUAGGUAGAAUAUAAGAUUUAAAGAAAACACAUGUAAUUUUUUAAAAAUGAAAACCCAGGAAAAUAAAAUGUACCAAGACAACAAAUAUAAGAACAACCCUGUCUCCACCCCCCACCCCCCCAAAGAAUAUAAGAACAAAGCUCAAAUCCAUACAGAGUGAAAACCCAUAAUAAUAUUCAAAACACGAUAUCUGUUAAAAAUGUACAAAUUAAAGAUUGCCUAAAGAAAAUUGAAUGACAUUAGAAAUGCUGUUGCUGCUUUAAGUAUCUUUCUC